GCGGUUCUGCUGUGUCAUGCAAGAAGGAGGCGGCGGCGGCGGCCGGAGCUGGAGGGGGAGGAGGGGAGGAACCUGAUCCUCGGUAGCGAAGGGCUGGAGGCAAACACCGAGCUCCCCCUGAGCCGCCUGGGAGCAGGGAGGGUUCUGCUACCCUGAGGGGCCCUCCCCGCGGGGCAGAGGGGUUUCCUCAGCAGUGCCCCGGAGCAGGGACCGCGCCAGCCAGCAGAAACAGCUAGUUGUUGUCUGCAGUGAAGAAUAAUUGGAAGCAUGGUGCCUGUUUCUUUUCCUGUGGGAGGAAGUCACAGCAUCUACUUCUGAAUCUGUGCUUGCCUUGAGGAAAAACGGCAUGGCACAGGAAUGUGGACGCUUUCAACCAGAGGAUUCUGUACGACGGUGUCGGCACACACUCAUCCUCGUCUACGGCCAAACGUUGGUUUCUCAUUUCUAGAAGAUGAAAGAUGUGAUGACUCAGGAAAAACUGGAAUCUUAGUAACUGUGGUGGGCAUUGAGCCUUGCCGUCCACAAGAGAAAGCUUGCUGCUCGAGAUGUGAGUCUUCAGAUGUUCCUGCCGCCAUAUCUGACAGCUGCUGCCAAGAUUCCCUGGUGGGAUGGACUCUUAUACCUCAACAACCAGAAGCCCAAGUAAACUCUUCUAUAAAUUGAAUGACUCAUGCUUAAAAAAAAAAACAAAAAACAAACUAUCUUUA
rnacentral:lncRNA from 1 species